rnacentral:rRNA from 1 species
UACGUAGGGGGCUAGCGUUGUCCGGAAUCAUUGGGCGUAAAGCGCGCGUAGGCGGCCCGGUAAGUCCGCUGUGAAAGUCAAAGGCUCAACCUUUGAAUGUCAGCGGAUACUGCCGGGCUAGAGUCCGGAAGAGGCGAGUGGAACUCCUGGUGUAGCGGUGGAAUGCGCAGAUAUCAGGAGGAACACCAAUAGCGAAGGCAGCUCGCUGGGACGGUACUGACGCUAAGGCGCGAAAGCGUGGGGAGCGAACAGG